rnacentral:rRNA from 1 species
CGCAUCUGUGCAUGCAGCAUAUCAAUAAGCGGAGGAAAAGAAACUAACAAGGAUUCCCUCAGUAACGGCGAGUGAAGCGGGAAGAGCUCAAAUUUGAAAUCUUAAAGGUCUACCUUGCACGAAUUGUAGUUUAAAGAAGUGUUUUCUGUGACGAUCUGGUAAUAUAAGUUCUUUGGAAUAGGACAUCACAGAGGGUGAGAAUCCCGUCUAUGAUUGCAUAUUUGUAGCUUUGUGAUACACUUUCAAAGAGUCGGAUUGUUUGGGAAUGCAGUCCCAAAACUGGGUGGUAAAUUUCAUUCUAAAGCUAAAUAUUGGCGAGAGACCGAUAGCGAACAAGUACCGUGAGGGAAAGAUGAAAAGAACUUUGAAAAGAGAGUUAAAUAGUACGUGAAAUUGUCAAAAGGGAAGCGUUUAACACCAGUGUUGUUUUCUGAAAAUCAACCUCUGUUAGCUUUAUGCAUGUUUGUUUAGACCUAAUCAGCUAUCUUGCAUGUUCUAUUGUUUGCAGUAGUGCACUUUUCAGUUUACAGGUCAACAUCAGUUUUUUUUACCGUAAAAAAGUUAAAGAAAGGUAGCUCAUGGCUCCGGUCGUGAGUGUUAUAGUCUUUUUCCUAUGCGGUAGGAGAGACUGAGGUCUGCAGUGUAGGCUAUUUGGCUAGAUACUCAGGUGCUAUGUGAUACCAUUUCAUAAACAACUUGUUGAUUAUGUUUUGUCUAUUGCAUACUCGCUUGUACUAUCAUACCUACGCUUAGGAUGUUGACGAUCAGCUGAGCGCG